UACGUAGGGUGCGAGCGUUGUCCGGAAUUAUUGGGCGUAAAGAGCUUGUAGGCGGUUUGUCGCGUCUGCCGUGAAAAUCCGGGGCUCAACCCCGGACUUGCGGUGGGUACGGGCAGACUAGAGUGUGGUAGGGGAGACUGGAAUUCCUGGUGUAGCGGUGAAAUGCGCAGAUAUCAGGAGGAACACCUGUGGUGUAGACAGCUUACUGGACCACUUCUGACGCUGAGACACGAAAGCGUGGGUAGCAAACAGG
rnacentral:rRNA from 1 species